rnacentral:rRNA from 1 species
UACGGGGGGGGCAAGCGUUGUUCGGAAUUACUGGGCGUAAAGGGCUUGUAGGUGGCCAACUAAGUCAGACGUGAAAUCCCUCGGCUUAACCGGGGAACUGCGUCUGAUACUGGAUGGCUUGAGUGUGGGAGAGGGAUGCGGAAUUCCAGGUGUAGCGGUGAAAUGCGUAGAUAUCUGGAGGAACACCGGUGGCGAAGGCGGCAUCCUGGACCAUUACUGACACUGAGACGCGAAAGCGUGGGGAGCAAACAGG